GAGUUUGAUCGUGGCUCAGAUUGAACGCUGGCGGCAGGCCUAACACAUGCCAAGUCGAGCGGACGACGGGAGCUUGCUCCUUGGUUCAGCGGCGGACGGGUGAGUAAUGCCUAGGAAUCUGCCUGGUAGUGGGGGACAACGUUUCGAAAGGAACGCUAAUACCGCAUACGUCCUACGGGAGAAAGCAGGGGACCUUCGGGCCUUGCGCUAUCAGAUCGAGCCUAGGUCGGAUUAGCUAGUUGGUGGGGUAAUGGCUCACCAAAGGCGACGAUCCGUAACUGGUCUGAGAGGAUGAUCAGUCACACUGGAACCUGAGACACGGUCCAGACUCCUACGGGAGGCAGCACGUGGGGAAUAUUGGACAAUGGGCGAAAGCCUCGAGUCCAGCCAUGCCGCGUGUGUGAAGAAGGUCUUCGGAUUGUAAAGCACUUUAAGUUGGGAGGAAGGGCAGUAAGUUAAUACCUUGCUGUUUUGACGUUACCGACAGAAUAAG
rnacentral:rRNA from 1 species